rnacentral:rRNA from 1 species
UACGUAGGGUGCGAGCGUUGUCCGGAAUUACUGGGCGUAAAGAGCUCGUAGGUGGUUUGUCGCGUUGUCCGUGAAAACUCACAACUCAAUUGUGGGCGUGCGGGCGAUACGGGCAGACUAGAGUGAUGUAGGGGAGACUGGAAUUCCUGGUGGUAGCGGUGAAAUGCGCAGAUAUCAGGAGGAACACCGAUGGCGAAGGCAGGUCUCUGGGCAUUAACUGACGCUGAGGAGCGAAAGCAUGGGGAGCGAACAGG